rnacentral:rRNA from 1 species
AGACCCGAAACCCGGUGAUCUAGCCAUGGGCAGGUUGAAGGUUGGGUAACACUAACUGGAGGACCGAACCGACUAAUGUUGAAAAAUUAGCGGAUGACCUGUGGCUGGGGGUGAAAGGCCAAUCAAACCGGGAGAUAGCUGGUUCUCCCCGAAAGCUAUUUAGGUAGCGCCUCGUGAAUUCAUCUCCGGGGGUAGAGCACUGUUUCGGCUAGGGGGCCAUCCCGGCUUACCAACCCGAUGCAAACUGCGAAUACCGGAGAAUGUUAUCACGGGAGACACACGGCGGGUGCUAACGUCCGUCGUGAAGAGGGAAACAACCCAGACCGCCAGCUAAGGUCCCAAAGUCAUGGUUAAGUGGGAAACGAUGUGGGAAGGCCCAGACAGCCAGGAUGUUGGCUUAGAAGCAGCCAUCAUUUAAAGAAAGCGUAAUAGCUCACUGGUCGAGUCGGCCUGCGCGGAAGAUGUAACGGGGCUAAACCAUGCACCGAAGCUGCGGCAGCGAACGUAUCACCCAAGACAACUUUACGGAGUUGACGAUUGACGGAGCGAAGCGACGUCAAAGCGUUCAUUAAAGUCGAGUUGGCUUAGGGAUACGUUCGUUGGGUAGGGGAGCGUUCUGUAAGCCUGUGAAGGUGUGUCGUGAGGCAUGCUGGAGGUAUCAGAAGUGCGAAUGCUGACAUAAGUAACGAUAAAGCGGGUGAAAAGCCCGCUCGCCGGAAGACCAAGGGUUCCUGUCCAACGUUAAUCGGGGCAGGGUGAGUCGACCCCUAAGGCGAGGCCGAAAGGCGUAGUCGAUGGGAAACGGGUUAAUAUUCCCGUACUUGGUGUUACUGCGAAGGGGGGACGGAGAAGGCUAUGUUGGCCGGGCGACGGUUGUCCCGGUUUAAGCGUGUAGGUGUGUGUUCCAGGUAAAUCCGGUUCACUUUAACACUGAGGCGUGAUGACGAGGCACUACGGUGCUGAAGCAACAAAUGCCCUGCUUCCAGGAAAAGCCUCUAAGCAUCAGGUAACAUCAAAUCGUACCCCAAACCGACACAGGUGGUCAGGUAGAGAAUACCAAGGCGCUUGAGAGAACUCGGGUGAAGGAACUAGGCAAAAUGGUGCCGUAACUUCGGGAGAAGGCACGCUGACACGUAGGUGAAGUGAUUUACUCACGGAGCUGAAGUCAGUCGAAGAUACCAGCUGGCUGCAACUGUUUAUUAAAAACACAGCACUGUGCAAACACGAAAGUGGACGUAUACGGUGUGACGCCUGCCCGGUGCCGGAAGGUUAAUUGAUGGGGUCAGCGCAAGCGAAGCUCCUGAUCGAAGCCCCGGUAAACGGCGGCCGUAACUAUAACGGUCCUAAGGUAGCGAAAUUCCUUGUCGGGUAAGUUCCGACCUGCACGAAUGGCGUAAUGAUGGCCAGGCUGUCUCCACCCGAGACUCAGUGAAAUUGAACUCGCUGUGAAGAUGCAGUGUACCCGCGGCAAGACGGAAAGACCCCGUGAACCUUUACUAUAGCUUGACACUGAACAUUGAGCCUUGAUGUGUAGGAUAGGUGGGAGGCUUUGAAGUGUGGACGCCAGUCUGCAUGGAGCCGACCUUGAAAUACCACCCUUUAAUGUUUGAUGUUCUAACGUGGACCCGUAAUCCGGGUUGCGGACAGUGUCUGGUGGGUAGUUUGACUGGGGCGGUCUCCUCCUAAAGAGUAACGGAGGAGCACGAAGGUUGGCUAAUCCUGGUCGGACAUCAGGAGGUUAGUGCAAUGGCAUAAGCCAGCUUGACUGCGAGCGUGACGGCGCGAGCAGGUGCGAAAGCAGGUCAUAGUGAUCCGGUGGUUCUGAAUGGAAGGGCCAUCGCUCAACGG